rnacentral:rRNA from 1 species
CUUACACAUGCAAGUCGAACGGCAGCGCGGGGCAACCUGGCGGCGAGUGGCGAACGGGUGAGUAAUAUAUCGGAACGUGCCCUGGAGUGGGGGAUAACGCAGCGAAAGUUGCGCUAAUACCGCAUACGAUCUAAGGAUGAAAGCGGGGGAUUCGCAAGAACCUCGUGCUCCUGGAGCGGCCGAUAUCUGAUUAGCUAGUUGGUGGGGUAAAGGCCUACCAAGGCAUCGAUCAGUAGCUGGUCUGAGAGGACGACCAGCCACACUGGAACUGAGACACGGUCCAGACUCCUACGGGAGGCAGCAGUGGGGAAUUUUGGACAAUGGGCGAAAGCCUGAUCCAGCAAUGCCGCGUGAGUGAAGAAGGCCUUCGGGUUGUAAAGCUCUUUUGUCAGGGAAGAAACGGUGAAGGCUAAUAUCCUUUGCUAAUGACGGUACCUGAAGAAUAAGCACCGGCUAACUACGUGCCAGCAGCCGCGGUAAUACGUAGGGUGCAAGCGUUAAUCGGAAUUACUGGGCGUAAAGCGUGCGCAGGCGGUUUUGUAAGUCUGUCGUGAAAUCCCCGGGCUCAACCUGGGAAUUGCGAUGGAGACUGCAAGGCUAGAAUCUGGCAGAGGGGGGUAGAAUUCCACGUGUAGCAGUGAAAUGCGUAGAGAUGUGGAGGAACACCGAUGGCGAAGGCAGCCCCCUGGGUCAAGAUUGACGCUCAUGCACGAAAGCGUGGGGAGCAAACAGGAUUAGAUACCCUGGUA